UCCAACUACUACUGCCCCUAUAACCCUAAAUAUUAUUGGUCAACAAACUACUGGUUACCCUACCUCUAUCCCGAUCACCAGUACCAGUCUCCCCACCACCUCUACCACCACCUCCACCAUCCCCUCCAACACCACCUCUACCACCACAUCCCCUCCCCUGGUCUGUAUCAACGGUGGUGAGCAGCUGAGUGGAGUCUGUAUCUGUCCUGAUGAGUGGACCGGAGAGACCUGUUCAGAAGGGUAUUUCUGCAAUUCCACCAUGAAGGAUGGAUUCUCCUUCCCAAGAACAGUGGUUGGCUGGUCUGCUUAUUCUGAAAAUUAUAACAAUGGUUUACCAGAAGCCUUAGCAGAAUGUUCAGAUGACACUGGAUCUCCAGUGUUUGGUCGUAUUUACAAGCUAGAGCGGGAAUUAACCCUCAGUGACAUUCUAGGAAAUAUCUCCAGCAGUCCAGGUGAUUUACUAAAGUUAGCCUUCAGUACUCAGAUCCUGACCUCCCAACCAGAGCAGCUGUCAGCUGACAACAUCACCACAGCAGCUCAGAUAGCUAACACACUGCUUCAGUCUGCAAAUAUCACAGAGGACAUCGCAGUGGCAGCUGUAACUACCAUCAGUCAGCUGCUGAAUGCCAAUGAGGAGAGUACACAGGAGAGAGACGCUGUCCAAAAGUACAGGAGGUGUGUGUGUGUGUGUGUGUGUGAGCGUGCAUGUGUGGUGGUGUGUAUUUCUGCAUAUGUUUGAGUUUAUGUGUGCCUCUGCUUGUCUGCAUGGUGCAUGCAAACUAAUGUUUUUCUGUGUUUCUCUCCCAGCCUCACAGAGACCCUGGAGAUGUUUUCCCUGGACCAGCACAAUAAUGUGUCCUUGGUGGUUCAGCCCAACCUGGUAGUCCAGUCGGUCCAAGUACCAAGUGACUCAGUAGGGAUCCAGUUUACUGCUCUGACUG
rnacentral:lncRNA from 1 species